rnacentral:lncRNA from 1 species
CGAUGCAAUCUUUUAUAGAUUCAGAUUUUGGUUGACAAUGUGAACUUCCUCCUGGUUUUCAAAAUCACCUCAUGCCAGUUUUUUAAUUCAAUAGAAUGUUGUGGAGUUAACCACUUCGAUGCAAUCUUUUAUAGAUUCAGAUUUUGGUUGACAAUGUGAACUUCCUCCUGGUUUUCAAAAUAACCUCAAGAACAUGUCCAGUGUAAAUGCCAAAUUUUGAAAAUCCUCCACAGAUCUAUAUGGUUGGUAACGACAUUGGUUCAAAUAUUGCUGCCAGUCUGAAUUUACUUCUGAUUGUUUAUUAGAAUUUGCUGGUUGUAAAUAUGUG